rnacentral:lncRNA from 15 species
AGCGCGGCUAACAUUAGCUUUAGGGCAAUAUUUAUAUACAACAUUUCACUAAAUACAACAAUAUUAAAACGAUUUUAACGUGUUUGUAACCUGCUGAUAAACGUCCUCAAAUUUAAAUAAAUCUGUUUUUAACUCAUUUUGUCCUGAAUAAUCUUCCGUAUUGAUUUCCUCCGCAGACAUCAUGAGCAAGCGGCCAAAGAUCCACGUCUUCCUGGGGGCUCCUCCUCCCUCCUCUGGCCCAGCCCUGGUGUCCGGAGCUGGGGUGGACAGCGGGGAGCAUCCCCCUGUCGACUGGAGACACCUGGAGCUCACCUGGCAGGAUGGACGUCUGAGGCCGGCAGCAGACGAGGGCGAAAGGACCAGGAUGGAGGACGAGGAAACUGAUCCCGGGAAGGAAGAUCAGUGUUCGGCUUCAGUUCACGAGUAUCUGGACGGCUGUUUCCCUGCAGAACCAGAACAACCAGGACCUGUAGCAGCCGUCCCUCCUCUGUCGGCCCAGACUCAGUACCUCACUACCUGGACUCUGAGUCAGGCUUUAAUCCUGCGAGGCAGACGUGGUGUCCAAUCAGCAACCAGCCCUGAGAAAACCCCACCUCCUCAAACCCCGCCCUCCGUCUCCUCCAGCACGCCGGAGCUCUUCAGCCCCGUAACACCGUCUCCGGGAGCCUCUGCAGAGCUCUUCAGCCCGACUCCGAGGGCGGAGGAAGGGGGCGUCGUGGUUGAGACCACCGCAGACGGGCUGCUCUGCUCCCAGGAUGCCGAGCAACAAGAGUCCAAAAACUCCCCCGAUUUCAAGAGAGCCCGAAUCCCAGAAAACCUCAGGNNNNNNNNNNNNNNNNNNNNNNNNNNNNNNNNNNNNNNNNNNNNNNNNNNNNNNNNNNNNNNNNNNNNNNNNNNNNNNNNNNNNNNNNNNNNNNNNNNNNAGAGAGAGAGAGAGAGAGAGAGAGAGAGAGAGAGAGAGAGAGAGAGAGAGAGAGAGAGAGAGAGAGGAACAGGAAACAACAGAUCUCAGUUCAACCCUCAGUACAUUUGUUCAGCUGAUUUUGUGGCAUUUUGUCUGAGUUCACAUCCUUUUCCUUAUUAAUGUUAGUUUUUCUAAUUCUGUUUUUGGACUGAGCUAAUUCAUGAUUUGACUCUAAUAUUUACCCCUUUUAAAUAAAUCCUAAAACAUACCAUAAACAUAAGUUAGGAGUAAACUAAAAAGUACAGUAUUUUUGCCAGGGUGGAAAGCCCUGUCACACCUUUUGAACUCAAAAACCUUACAAUGAAUAAAACCAUUGUUGACUCCAUAUAUUAGCCUAACUCUUGUGAAAACAACCUCUGUGGCUGUGUAAAUGUUUUUUACUAGGGGAUCCUGUUGUUUCUUGCGUGGCCUACAGUUCAUCACUGGGGGUCAGAGAGGUUGCUGAUACCAGAGUUUGCUCCAAUGGAAGCCCCCUCCCCCUUCAUCAUGUGACCCGUGUGGGGUGACUGUCAGUGCACAACAGCCGGAGCCCUAGCUUUUUGUACAAAAUGAAAACACAGCACAUGUACACACAACUGAACAACUGAGCCUAUGAAUCGUCACACGUUCACCUGCUGCACUGCAGUGCCUCCUACUUCCCCUUUUCUCAGUAUAGGCCGGCUGAGCGAUGUGUCGGCUGUCAGCCACAACAACCCUGCAGACUGUCAGUCUGAACUUCAACUGCAGGGCCUUCUGGUUUCGACACCACACUGUCUUCCUGUGGCGCCUCCGCCCUGCUGUCGGAAGCGUCUUUAGCACUCAUGACACAACAGUCCUGAAUGUCUACAUGGUCUUGCCCCAUAAUGUCCUGACCCUACAAACUGUCUGUGUGUACUGUUAUAUUAAAUGGUAAAAGGACAGCAUUUAUACAGCACAUUUCCGGCCUAUUGACCACUCAGAGUGCAUCACAUAACAUGUCAGCAUUCAUACAAUAAUGGUAGAGGCUGCCAUGCAAGUUGCCGACCCGCUCAUCACGAGCGGUCAGUGUCUUGCCUCAAGGACAGUCUCUCUGGAGGAGACACGGAUCGAACCGAGACCUUUCCAAUUAUUAGACCUCCUGAUCCAUGCCCUGCCUUUUUUUUGGCUGAACUGAUAUAUAGGAUGAAUACUUCUGACUUCCUCCCCGAAAGCUUACAGGACAGUCAGACAUUUGCACUUGUUUGGCCUUCAGGAAUAAGUCUGGUUUUAUACAACUUAGGUCUUAUUUUGGCUUAUUCCUAAUAGAACCCCAAAGAUUAGUCAAACUUAUUUGGAAGAAACAAUCUGCCAAUGGUAAGAUUAUUACCCAAACUCCAGAGUUUACCUUAUGUUUAGUACUAUCAUAACUGACAAAAGAAAACAAUACAAAGGAAGCUUCUGUCUACAGUAUUAGCCCUCCAAAACCUAUAUGUGUCAAACCAAACUCCAGACCCUCCUCCCUCACUUCCAGCCCUUCUUCCUCACCACUGGAAACCACGUGAUUUGGCUUCAGAGUGAAGUCUCUCACUGUCUUUUUCUCCUUAUGUCUCUUUUCCAAUCGCUCAGCCCUCUCCCAGAGUUCAACAGUGGAACAAAAUGUCCGGCUCUGGAGCGGAAAGCGCUAGUAUGUGCUGGCCAGCCGGCUCAAUUUUUGAGGCUGCCCAGCACCCUGUGCUGAACCAAAGAGCCUCUUUGUGCUCUGGCCUCACAAAGAUGUACCCCGAGCAGCAAAAAAAAAAAAAAAAACACACAUCCAAAAACAAAACCAACAGCAGGGCCCCCAGCCAGGGGAAGGGGGGCUGCCUGCAGCCCUACACGCAGGGUCCAAGAGGAGGAGCUGCCAGUAUUGGAGGUUUCAAAUAAAACCUGGUGAAAAAGCUGGGGAGAAACAGGAAGGAAGUUUUCCAUUUGAGCUGAAAGGGCCCCACGUGGUCAGCUUCCACUCAUUCCUCUUCCUCAUGUAUCAAGCCAUGAUGGCUCAUGUUCGUCUUAACAAGGAUUUUGCAGUCAGAGAAGGCUAUAUUACCAAGCAAAUCCCUAUUUGCUCACCCUAUAUUUAACCUUUAUGAAUCUUCCAUAAUCUGCAAACACCGCCAGAAAUGAAAAGGUUUGAGUAUCGAAUCUCGGUGUAUUUUUGGUGCAGAAUAAAAUGUGUCCUUAGGGCAUUUUUGGCUUUUUGGCUUCCAUAACGCCUAGAGAAAACGCCUAAAUUACACAUUUAGUUUUAGUUUACUUUAGAUAAUAUUUAAACAUUUCAGAUAAAAUCAACCUCUGUAGAAACCUUUGACUAAAAUUUUAAUAAAAAUGAAUCAACAGUUUUUGAACCUGGCUGUAACCACCUUCAGAUUUCUGUUCCGGAAAGCUAUGCAAAUCAGCAAAUUAUUAAUUAGAUAAUGCCUCUUUUGCACAUUUAAACAUGUAAUUUAAUUUAUGAUAUCUAUUAGUUUACCCCAUUCACCUGUAGUGUCUCCCCUUAAGGGUUAAAAACUGUUAAGGAGGGUUGCAACUAAUGAUUAUGUUC